rnacentral:lncRNA from 1 species
CCCCGAACGAAUAGCCCGAUCUUUCUGGAGCGUUUCCUGAUGGGGUUUGCGAGGAACGUCUGCUGGGAGGUUAUUCUGAGAGCUGAUUGACAUAUGCAUGGGCAGAUGUUUUAUAAACUGCAUUCUCUACAAACUGAAGGGGCAAAUGUGAUGGAUUCCAAGGCUCCACAAGACAUUAUCAUGGUCAAUGUCCAGCAGACCAGAUAUGGGGUGAUCAAUUGUUUGAAGGUAAAAGUUGUCAAGAAUAACUUUAGACUUUGCUGGGAAUGCAAUAUCUUCUGACAAGGAGGAGUUGGCUGGAACAGCCUGGGCUCUGUACCUGUCCCUCAGAUGUCCUUUGGUGCUUUAGCCCAGUGACUCAUCGAUCUCCCAGGUGAAACAGGCGACUUCCUUCACUGCCUUUCUCUGGGAGCACGAUGAGCACUAAUUACCCGCUCACUGCCAAGCUGGCACCCGGCAUGAGCUGUCAGGAGCCUGCAGUCCCUUCCUGAAGUGUGCAGGUAAGUGAACACAAGCAGGAGAAGAACCAGUGAGCAUGGCGGGGCCACGGAUGGCGUCUGCUGGACUAGCCUCCUGCUUCUUCCUCUGCUGCUCCAAGUCCCCUGCAGGACUAGCUGGGUCCCCCCAUCUCCCCGCCCAACUGCUGUCCAGGGACCCCAUGCCCCUUUGCUCACCAAGGAGGCUCGUGUCUUCUACCGAGGACAGCUGCCUUCAACCUUGGCUGCUCAUUAAAAC